rnacentral:lncRNA from 1 species
UGAUUCCAAAUACUGACAUAGUGGCAAGCAGCUCAUCGUGGCUUGCCUACAGUGUGCUAGUGUGAUGAAACAUUUGGUACUGAUACAAUGCUUGCAAUGCAGGAAAUUACCCUAUUGUACACAUCUCUGUCCAGAAAUAUGUCAUCCUGGUCAAUGCCCAUUGCCUGAACAGUGCUGCAAAAAGGUGAUAAUUCUAAUCAAUCAUGAGUUUACAGAUACUAUCAGUAUAAAUGAGUGUUGAAUUAGUUGAAUGUAUGUAUAUCUUACUAUUUUGCCUACUGUACUAAUAAUCUACUUUGCAACGACUACAUUUUCU